rnacentral:lncRNA from 1 species
AGAUAUUACAGCUACGUUUAUUACUCAAGAUUGUGCCUUUCAUAUGGGCGUGUGGGAUGGUUGUUAUCGAAGACUGAAUGAAAUGCCUCAUAUCAAGCACUUUUCUUGGUGACUGGUCCAUUACAGUGAGAAAAUAAAAGAAUUUUAUCCGAAGAAUGCCCGUCUCUUUAAUGAUCAAGCCCAGAGAGACAGUCGAAUGAGACAGCAAUUAUUUUCUACUUCCCCCUUUGAGCUAUGUAUUCAUCUCUUAAAAUUGCUUGCUAUUGUCACAAGUAGUUAUACAUUACCCUAAUAAUGCCACACCAGACACUAUAACCCACACCUAUAGCUUAACAACGUAUAGCCAAUCACUGAUCAAUGUUAUUUCUGUAAACCUGUCGGAAUUUCUGAUAUACAACUUUGUGUCAGCCUACUCCCUGUUUCCCUUAUUUUACUUUUAAGAAUCCAUUUGUAACUGCUGCUAAUCAGAGUGUAUAUUCAGGGCAACUUAAAUCUCUGCUUUCCAGUUGCAGUUCUCAAGCUUGGCCCAAAU